rnacentral:rRNA from 1 species
GGUUAAGCGACUAAGCGUACACGGUGGAUGCCCUGGCAGUCAGAGGCGAUGAAGGACGUGCUAAUCUGCGAAAAGCGUCGGUAAGGUGAUAUGAACCGUUAUAACCGGCGAUGUCCGAAUGGGGAAACCCAGUGCAAUUCGUUGCACUAUCGUUAACUGAAUACAUAGGUUAACGAGGCGAACCGGGGGAACUGAAACAUCUAAGUACCCCGAGGAAAAGAAAUCAACCGAGAUUCCCCCAGUAGCGGCGAGCGAACGGGGAGCAGCCCAGAGUCUGAAUCAGCUUGUGUGUUAGUGGAACGGUCUGGAAAGUCCGACGGUACAGGGUGAUAGUCCCGUACACCAAAAUGCACAGGUUGUGAACUCGAAGAGUAGGGCGGGACACGUGGUAUCCUGUCUGAAUAUGGGGGGACCAUCCUCCAAGGCUAAAUACUCCUGACUGACCGAUAGUGAACCAGUACCGUGAGGGAAAGGCGAAAAGAACCCCGGCGAGGGGAGUGAAAAAGAACCUGAAACCGUGUACGUACAAGCAGUGGGAGCACCUUCGGGUGUGACUGCGUACCUUUUGUAUAAUGGGUCAGCGACUUAUAUUCUGUAGCAAGGUUAACCGUAUAGGGGAGCCGCAGGGAAACCGAGUCUUAACUGGGCGUUAAGUUGCAGGGUAUAGACCCGAAACCCGGUGAUCUAGCCAUGGGCAGGUUGAAGGUUGGGUAACACUAACUGGAGGACCGAACCGACUAAUGUUGAAAAAUUAGCGGAUGACUUGUGGCUGGGGGUGAAAGGCCAAUCAAACCGGGAGAUAGCUGGUUCUCCCCGAAAGCUAUUUAGGUAGCGCCUCGUGAAUUCAUCUUCGGGGGUAGAGCACUGUUUCGGCUAGGGGGUCAUCCCGACUUACCAACCCGAUGCAAACUACGAAUACCGAAGAAUGUUAUCACGGGAGACACACGGCGGGUGCUAACGUCCGUCGUGAAGAGGGAAACAACCCAGACCGCCAGCUAAGGUCCCAAAGUCAUGGUUAAGUGGGAAACGAUGUGGGAAGGCACAGACAGCCAGGAUGUUGGCUUAGAAGCAGCCAUCAUUUAAAGAAAGCGUAAUAGCUCACUGGUCGAGUCGGCCUGCGCGGAAGAUGUAACGGGGCUAAACCAUGCACCGAAGCUGCGGCAGCGACACUAUGUGUUGUUGGGUAGGGGAGCGUUCUGUAAGCCUGCGAAGGUGACCUGUGAGGGUUGCUGGAGGUAUCAGAAGUGCGAAUGCUGACAUAAGUAACGAUAAAGCGGGUGAAAAGCCCGCUCGCCGGAAGACCAAGGGUUCCUGUCCAACGUUAAUCGGGGCAGGGUGAGUCGACCCCUAAGGCGAGGCCGAAAGGCGUAGUCGAUGGGAAACAGGUUAAUAUUCCUGUACUUGGUGUUACUGCGAAGGGGGGACGGAGAAGGCUAUGUUAGCCGGGCGACGGUUGUCCCGGUUUAAGCAUGUAGGCUGGUUAUCCAGGCAAAUCCGGAUAAUCAAGGCUGAGGUGUGAUGACGAGGCACUACGGUGCUGAAGUAACAAAUGCCCUGCUUCCAGGAAAAGCCUCUAAGCAUCAGGUAACAUUAAAUCGUACCCCAAACCGACACAGGUGGUCAGGUAGAGAAUACCAAGGCGCUUGAGAGAACUCGGGUGAAGGAACUAGGCAAAAUGGUGCCGUAACUUCGGGAGAAGGCACGCUGGUGUGUAGGUGAAGUCCCUGCGGAUGGAGCUGAGACCAGUCGAAGAUACCAGCUGGCUGCAACUGUUUAUUAAAAACACAGCACUGUGCAAACACGAAAGUGGACGUAUACGGUGUGACGCCUGCCCGGUGCCGGAAGGUUAAUUGAUGGGGUUAUCCGUAAGGAGAAGCUCUUGAUCGAAGCCCCGGUAAACGGCGGCCGUAACUAUAACGGUCCUAAGGUAGCGAAAUUCCUUGUCGGGUAAGUUCCGACCUGCACGAAUGGCGUAAUGAUGGCCAGGCUGUCUCCACCCGAGACUCAGUGAAAUUGAACUCGCUGUGAAGAUGCAGUGUACCCGCGGCAAGACGGAAAGACCCCGUGAACCUUUACUAUAGCUUGACACUGAACAUUGAGCCUUGAUGUGUAGGAUAGGUGGGAGGCUUUGAAGCGUGGACGCCAGUCUGCGUGGAGCCAACCUUGAAAUACCACCCUUUAAUGUUUGAUGUUCUAACGUUGGCCCCUUACCGGGGUUGCGGACAGUGUCUGGUGGGUAGUUUGACUGGGGCGGUCUCCUCCCAAAGCGUAACGGAGGAGCACGAAGGUUAGCUAAUCCUGGUCGGACAUCAGGAGGUUAGUGCAAUGGCAUAAGCUAGCUUGACUGCGAGCGUGACGGCGCGAGCAGGUGCGAAAGCAGGUCAUAGUGAUCCGGUGGUUCUGAAUGGAAGGGCCAUCGCUCAACGGAUAAAAGGUACUCCGGGGAUAACAGGCUGAUACCGCCCAAGAGUUCAUAUCGACGGCGGUGUUUGGCACCUCGAUGUCGGCUCAUCACAUCCUGGGGCUGAAGUAGGUCCCAAGGGUAUGGCUGUUCGCCAUUUAAAGUGGUACGCGAGCUGGGUUUAGAACGUCGUGAGACAGUUCGGUCCCUAUCUGCCGUGGGCGCUGGAGAAUUGAGGGGGGCUGCUCCUAGUACGAGAGGACCGGAGUGGACGCAUCACUGGUGUUCGGGUUGUCAUGCCAAUGGCACUGCCCGGUAGCUAAAUGCGGAAGAGAUAAGUGCUGAAAGCAUCUAAGCACGAAACUUGCCCCGAGAUGAGUUCUCCCUGAGACUUUAAGUCUCCUGAAGGAACGUUAAAGACGAUGACGUUGAUAGGCCGGGUGUGUAAGCGCAGCGAUGCGUUGAGCUAACCGGUACUAAUGAACCGUGAGGCUUAACCUU